rnacentral:tRNA from 1 species
GGCGCGGUAGCUCAGCUGGUUAGAGCGCUGGUCUCAUAAGCCGGAGGUCGAGGGUUCGAGUCCCUCUCUCGCUA